CGACACACUACUGACCUACCUGCAGGGUCCUAUAACAACAUCAUCUGCUUUAAAAACAAAACUGUUGUGUUUGAGGGUUUGUUUUGUUCAGUAAUAAACACAACUUCUCGGUUUAGAGUUCGGGUAAAUAUUUCCCCAGCGGGGAUAUACUUUGUGUCUGUUCUAAAGAAGAGAUAUUUUGUAACUGAUACAUAUUUUCCUGCUGACGUCACAGAGAGUGAGGAGAUACUUUGUAACAAUUCGCGGAUAUUUAGUAACCGCCUCGAGGACGCUUUAAAUCUGUUGUACGUGGGAAAUAAGCAAAGAAAUCAGGAAUGAAAGUCUGAAAUGCACAUAGUCACAGGGCUUCCUCUUGAAGAAGCUUGACACCGCCUGGGCUGAAGCUUUGGACGGAAUCGCAGCGGUUUUUACCACACAGUUGUGUCCAGAUUGUCUCACUAUAGCGGUUUAUGUCGAAUCAUAAACUCGCCACUAGAACGAGACUCCUCUCUAACACGGAAUAUGUGUGUAUUUUUUUCUUUCUUUUUUUCCCUCCUCCUGUUCCUCCAUUGCUUGCUGGCGCAACAGCGUUUCAUUUGAACAGUCUCUAGUGCGCAUAUUGUGAAAUAUCAGCUUUAAUUACCUUCUCUCUAGUUUGUCUGGGCGCAUACGAACGUAUAUAGACCGUCAGUGUGCAAUAAACAGAUAUAGCUCCACAUUAUCCCACACUAUCAAUGGGCUGUGUCCGAGCAGUUCAGACUCUUCAGCUGAGGAAAAUCACUUUCAAAAGCUCCUUACCUUCUUCCACAAGAGUGCUACGAGCCAGGGCGCUUCAAGUGACGUAACGAACCGGGAUGCGCGCGCCCAACACUGGCCUCCAUGACCGCCGUGACGUGCACGAGCGCUUCUGCACCUCUUAUUCGAGGUGGCACCACAUAGAGGAUAUAUCCACACUGGAGACUGGAGCUAUAUACCCACACGAUGGAGACCUCCUCCAGCAGUGGUCUUCUGGGUGUAAUUUGGGGUUUGACUGAUAUUUCUUGCUUGUGUAACUGAAGCAUGACUGCAGGAAAAGGACUCAUGGACCCAAACCGCAUUGAUCAGACAGUUUACUGCUUAGGAUAGAGACCUGUCUUCUGCACUCCAAAAGCAGUGAUGAAGAUGUUGAUGAUGACGGUUUUGUGCAUAAUGCACGAUGGAUUUCACUCUCACCCAUGUGGACAAAGAGAGCCCCCGCGAGCACUUGGAAGAAGAGAGACGUGGCGAUGAGGACGAUGACAGUGAGGUAGUACUUGAACUCGGGGCCCUGCUCCAGGACAGCUUUCAGCUGAG